rnacentral:rRNA from 1 species
AGAGUUUGAUUCGUGGCUACAGGAUGAACGCUGGCGGCGUGCUUAACACAUGCAAGUCGAACGGAGUUUUAACGGAAGUUUCGGAUGGAAGUUAAGAACUUAGUGGCGGACGGGUGAGUAACGCGUGGGUAACCUGCCUCAUACAGGGGGAUAACAGUUAGAAAUGACUGCUAAACACCGCAUAAUAUAGUGAAACCGCAUGAUUUUGCUAUCAAAUAUUUAUAGGUAUGAGAUGGGCCCGCGUCUGAUUAGCUAGUUGGUGGGGUAAAAGCCUACCAAGGCGACGAUCAGUAGCCGGCUUGACGAGAGUGACCGGCCACAUUGGGACUGAGACACGGCCCAAACUCCUACGGGAGGCAGCAGUGGGGAAUAUUGGACAAUGGGGGAAACCCUGAUCCAGCGAACCGCCGCGUGAGUGAAGAAGUAUUUCGGUAUGUAAAGCUCUAUCAGCAGGGAAGAUUAAUGACAGUACCUGACUAAGAAGCCCCGGCUAACUACGUGCCAGCAGCCGC